UCUCCACAUGCAUUUCUGGCCCUCUGGAAGCUUUUUCCUCAAAUUAUGGUCUUUGGAACAGCAGGUGAUUAUGAUCUGCAGAGAAAACAUGUGUUGCUAAUAAAGCAUCUUGCAUAUGAAAGCAUUCAGAUGACUCAGGCAACUACUUCAUGUUCCUGAGGCUCCUUUAAAGAAGUUUAAGGUGCCAAUCUAAAGACUAUGCAGAUCUAAUUCAGAAUGCAGAAGUUGCAGACAUAUCUCCUUUUUAAGCACACUGUGAGGAACUAUG
rnacentral:lncRNA from 1 species